CCCCUAGACGUUCUGGGCUGCACGCGCGCUACAAUAAUACGCACAGCGAGUAUCACCGAGCUCGAAGGGGCAAGGUAAACAAUAGAAAAGGUACUGUAAUGGUUAUAGAUCCUUGUAAUUAUUGAUCUUCAACGAGGAAUUCCUAGUAAGUAUGUGUCAUCAUCACGCACUGAUUACGUCCCUGCCCUUUGUACACACCGCCCGUCGCUCCUACCGAUUGGGUGAGCCGAUGAAACUCUCGGAUGUAGGCUAUUCAUAGCCCGCAGAAGAGAUUUGAAUCGUAGCGCUUAGAGGAAGGAGAAGUCGUAACA
rnacentral:rRNA from 1 species